CUAGGUCUUGGAGGCUGGUGUAAGGCGAUGUGGGUGAAGGCAGGAGGCUGAUGGAAAGACUGGGGGGAAGAAAAGCCGAAAUGGAUUCACGGUGCCUUGGAUGAAGGACGAGAGGGGAACUGCAAGCUCCUUCAACUGGUUCUGUCCGGUGAGAAGUGAUCAAGCUUGGGCUGACAAGAGGCUCAGGGAGCCCUCACGUUCUUUCGCUUUUUUACCUGCCAAUCAAACUGCUACAAGACAACACCCUGAUCUGGCAUGGACAUAAUCAAGCUUUGGUCAUUCCGGAAGUCGUGUAGCAUGCUCCAAUUUGAAGUGACUGAGAUCUUUUGUGACUUACAGAGGAGAAGGAAAUGUUUUAAAAAUUGGCUUAUGCCAGUCUCCUUACUCUGAAAUUCUCAAUUUUCUUGUAUUACAGGAUAAAUAUAAAUAUCAUCUCACCAAAUUG
rnacentral:lncRNA from 1 species